rnacentral:misc_RNA from 1 species
UCUUCUUCUUCUUUAACUUCAAACAAACCAGCUCUCAUCUCUCAGCUUCACCUGCUUUCCACUCUUCUCAAUGGGGGAGGAAGACAAGAAACCGGAGGAUACGAAACCAGAGGAACCCCCCAAGGCGGCUCCCCUUCAAGAGAAAACAGAGGCUGAAACCGAUAACAAAGAAUCAAAAGAUGCCAUCGAAGAAAAACCUCUUCCUAAACCUCCUCAGGAUAUUGUGCUCUCUGUUUUUAUGCAUUGUGAAGGCUGUGCCCGCAAGGUCCGCCG